rnacentral:rRNA from 1 species
AUUGAACGCUGGCGGCAUGCCUUACACAUGCGAGUCGAACGGCAGCACGGGUGCUUGCCCCUGGUGGCGAGUGGCGAACGGGUGAGUAAUACAUCGGAACAUGUCCUGUAGUGGGGGAUAGCCCGGCGAAAGCCGGAUUAAUACCGCAUACGAUCCACGGAUGAAAGCGGGGGACCUUCGGGCCUCGCGCUAUAGGGUUGGCCGAUGGCUGAUUAGCUAGUUGGUGGGGUAAAGGCCUACCAAGGCGACGAUCAGUAGCUGGUCUGAGAGGACGACCAGCCACACUGGGUCUGAGACACGGCCCAGACUCCUACGGGAGGCAGCAGUGGGGAAUUUUGGACAAUGGGCGAAAGCCUGAUCCAGCAAUGCCGCGUGUGUGAAGAAGGCCUUCGGGUUGUAAAGCACUUUUGUCCGGAAAGAAAUCCUUGGCUCUAAUACAGUCGGGGGAUGACGGUACCGGAAGAAUAAGCACCGGCUAACUACGUG